rnacentral:rRNA from 1 species
GUAAGGAAUAUUGCACAAUGGGGGGAACCCUGAUGCAGCAACGCCGCGUGGGCGAUGAAGGUCUUCGGAUCGUAAAGCCCUUUUCUGCGGGAAGAGAGCGGACGGUACCGCAGGAAUAAGUCUCGGCUAACUACGUGCCAGCAGCCGCGGUAAAACGUAGGAGGCAAGCGUUAUCCGGAUUUACUGGGCGUAAAGCGCAUGCAGGCGGUUCGUUAAGUUGGGCAUAAAAUCUCUCGGCUUAACCGGGAGGGGUUGUCCAAUACUGGCGGGCUUGAGGGCAGGAGAGGGAAGCGGAAUUCCAGGUGUAGCGGUAAUAUGCGCAGAUAUCUGGAGGAACACCAGUGGCGAAGGCGGCUUUCUGGCCUGUACCUGACGCUAAGAUGCGAAAGCCAGGGGAGCGAACGGGAUUAGAAACCCCAGUAGUCC